UUAGGUAGGUUUCCCUUAAAAACGCAUAAAUCUUUCGCCUUUCACUAAAGAUUUCCGUGGAAGAGAACACUCAAAGGUUCAACCUACCUACACAUUAUAUUGGUACUUUCUUAGUAAAAAUA